rnacentral:rRNA from 1 species
UACGUAGGGGGCAAGCGUUGUCCGGAAUCAUUGGGCGUAAAGAGCGUGUAGGCGGCUUGGUAAGUCCGCUGUGAAAGUCCAGGGCUCAACCCUGGAAUGCCGGUGGAAACUGUCAAGCUCGAGUCCGGAAGAGGCGAGUGGAAUCCUGGUGUAGCGGUGAAAUGCGCAGAUAUCAGGAGGAACACCAAUGGCGAAGGCAGCUCGCUGGGACGUGACUGACGCUGAGACGCGAAAGCGUGGGGAGCAAACAGG